rnacentral:rRNA from 1 species
UACGUAGGUGACCAGCGUUGUCCGGAUUUACUGGGCGUAAAGGGCGCGUAGGCGGCCGCCUAAGUCAGACGUGAAAUCCCUCGGCUCAACCGGGGAACUGCGUCUGAGACUGGGAGGCUUGAAUCCGGGAGAGGAAUGCGGAAUUCCAGGUGUAGCGGUGAAAUGCGCAGAUAUCAGGAGGAACACCGGUGGCGAAGGCGGGUCUCUGGGCCGUAACUGACGCUGAGGAGCGAAAGCGUGGGGAGCGAACAGG